GCGGAUAUGGCGGAAUUGGCAGACGCGCCAGAUUUAGGUUCUGGUACUUAUGGUGUGGGGGUUCAAGUCCCCCUAUCCGCA
rnacentral:tRNA from 1 species